UACGAAGGGGGCUAGCGUUGCUCGGAAUCACUGGGCGUAAAGCGCACGUAGGCGGAUUGUUAAGUCAGGGGUGAAAGUCCCGGGGCUCGAACCCCGGAACUGCCUUUGAUACUGAUAGUCUCGAGUCCGGAAGAGGUGAGUGGAAUUCCGAGUGUAGAGGUGAAAUUCGUAGAUAUUCGGAGGAACACCAGUGGCGAAGGCGGCUCACUGGUCCGGUACUGACGCUGAGGUGCGAAAGCGUGGGAAGCAAACAGG
rnacentral:rRNA from 1 species